rnacentral:lncRNA from 1 species
CCUUUCUGGAUGUCCGUUUGAGCUCAAAUUUUACAGUCAGGCUCGGUUUUAUUUAACUUAACGAAAGAAAUUUUAAUCUUUCAGUUUCGUCACCGAAAGCUCUACCGAGCUGUAAUCUCUAGCAGAUAGCAGUCGGAUUUUAUUUUCUACCUUCUGGGUGUCAGAAUGACAUAAAACUUUAAAUCUAGCCCCAUAAAAAUAAUUCUGACAUAUUCUCCAGUUUUCAUAAUUUUCUGACACUGCAUUUUCUGCUAAUUUAUCUGCCUCGUUUCUCACAGAAAAUUUUAAAUCUUCUGUUUUCGUUCCGAUUUCAGCACAGGUCAUUUCCAACUUAUAUUUCACUUCUCUAAAUCCAAUAAAAAUAGUAUCUCAUACUAUUUUUAUUUAUUUCUAUUUUUUUUCUAUAUUAAAAUCUGGUAUGUUACAUAUAUAAUGCUCAAGUCUUUUACUAGAAUGGUAUAAAUCAUUUCUUAUACAUUCUUUCUAUCUAAAUUCAAUUUUUGUAUAGCCUGCAUUAAAACAUAUGGAUCGAAGUUAUAGGAGAAGAAUGCA